GGCGGCAUGCCUAACACAUGCAAGUCGAACGGAGUAAUGACUUCGGUUAUUACUUAGUGGCGAACGGGUGAGUAACACGUGAAUAAUCUGCCCUGUACGAUGGGAUAACAGCUGGAAACGGCUGCUAAUACCGUAUAUGACCACGCCGAGGCAUCUCGGAGGGGUGAAAGCGCUUAAGCGGUACAGGAUGAGUUCGCGUCCAAUUAGCUAGUUGGUGAGGUAACGGCCCACCAAGGCGACGAUUGGUAGCCGACCUGAGAGGGUGAUCGGCCACACUGGAACUGAGACACGGUCCAGACUCCUACGGGAGGCAGCAGUGGGGAAUAUUGGGCAAUGGAGGAAACUCUUACCCAAGCAAUGCCGCGUGAGUGAUGAAGGUCUUCGGAUUGUAAAGCUCUUUGAUUGGGGACGAAUAAAUGACGGUACCCAAGGAACAAGCCCCGGCUAACUAUGUGCCAGCCGCCGC
rnacentral:rRNA from 1 species